UUCAGGGAAUCUAUUUCUGAAAGCCACAAGCUGCACUAGGGAAUGGCUUAUAACUCUCCAAGCCCUGUCUACUUCCGCCGCCGUGCUCUGCUGCCUGUGACGCCUGGAGCCCAGGGAAGACUGGCCUCCUGUUGAUGCAGCAGAAUGAGGCUGCCUUUCCUGUUUCUGAGUGCUUGUGAUCCGACGGAGCCACCUGGAAUCCCUGGCUUCAUAGGGAUCGAGCUUUCACAACACUGUGGGAUGUGAUGCCCUGUUUCAACAAGGCCUCGUUGAGCUGGGUACUGGUCCUCAUUUUAUGCAUCUGACGAGUCCAGUGGAAACACUUCAUGGAGAGCAUCUCUUCAGUGCCAAGCGACUUCCUGAGUCUCAGGUAAGACUUGCCUUGCUUCCCCUUUACCUUCCACCAUGAUUUAAGUUUCCUGAGGCCUCUCCAACCCAUACGGAACUAUACUUCCUGCCUUGAACAUCAGACUCCAAGUUCUUCAGCUUUUGGACUCUUGGACUUAAACCAAUGGUUUGCCAGGGGCUCUUGGGCCUUUGGCCACAGACUGAAGGCUGCACUGUCAGUUUCCCUACUUUUGAGGUUUUGAGACUUGGACUGGCCUCCUUGCUCCUCAGCUUGCUGACAGCCUAUUGUGGGACUUCACCGUGUGAUCCUGUCAGUCAAAACUGAAGAUCAGCUUUUGAUCAUGAAGAGGAGAUUAGGUCACAGAUGUUCAAUAAGGAAAGACCAUGUGAAGACACAAGAAGAUGGUCAUCUGCAAGCCAAGAGAAAUGUCUCAAAAGGAACUGGCCCUGCUGACAUCUCGACCUUGAAUUUCCAGCCUCAGGUUCUUGGAUGCUUGAUGGAGUUAAGGAUUUGAGAACAUGAGAACAAACAAACAGGAAUAUGCAGGAAAUCAUUGAGGACACAGGAGAUGAAGUCAACCUGUGGCCAAGGGAGAGGGAGGGACAUGAGAAGCUUUGUGAAAGAUGUCAGCACAAACCUCAGGUCAAGUGACUGCAUUGAACCUUCAACAUCACAUUACUAACGUAAGUACGGCCAACCUACUGCAGUUAUGGGCAAAAUAAGGAGUCUCAGAGAGAAUGUCGAUAAAACGAGUAAAGUUAAAUGCAUUGAGCAGUAAACGCAAUAAUGCCGAAACUGAAUGUCAUGUUUUUGCCCUGAUUUGAAGAGAGAUCUUCUGUAUAACGAUCUGAAGAAUGUGGAGAAUCCUUCUCAGGCUCAAGGAGGCGAUGUGAGCCUCUUGCUCGUUGCAGUUGUUCUUGCUGUAAAAUUUCUUCCAUACUAGAGAGCUGUACCUGUUGAAUGCUUAAUGUCCCUUUCUUCCAGAUCUAUGAUUCUUCCGCCAUAUGUUCCCCAGAUUGAAAAUAGAUUUCAUUUCUUUAAACAAAAAUUCUUUUGACAUCUUAGCUUUCAUAUCCUAAUCUACUCAGCCAACCUUCCUUUUCGAUUAUCCUAUGGGUGCUAAGAUGUCAUGUAAAAAAUUUUCAUUUAAUUUUGAAACUGCCAUUGAACAUACUUUAUAAUUAGAGUAAAGUAAAAGCAUUAUUAAAAUUGAGCUGGAAUUGUGUUUGCUUUGAUAUGCUGUGUGUAAUAUUUCUUGAAACAGGCUGAUUCAAUUGCGUAUUUAAAGACCGAGUUUGUCAAGUUAGCAACGUGAAAGAGUGACAGGUCUAAAACAGAGUAAUCCUGGGUUUAAAAAAAGGAGAGACAGAGACUCUUUGAAUGUGUUGUGGAAAGGGAAUCCCACUAAACAAUCCAAAUAUAUUCUUUCCAAGUUCUUUUGUGGAGUAGAAAGUGGUUUUAUCCAGAUGUGUUUAAUUUAUUCGGAAAGAAAAAUACAUUUUUUCUUUCUUAUGUUAGUAUUGUAUGUGCUUACAGGUCAUGAAAAAUUACUUUCUUGCUUUGAAUUUCACAGCAAUUGUGAGGAUCUCUGAACAGGAGCUAUUUGUACAUGAAGAGACAGGCAGAAAAUUCAGUUAAAUUGUUCUAAUUGAUCUGCAUAGUAAGUUGAACUGGGUAUUUUUUUUGUCUGAGGAUUGUUUCCUUCCCUUGUAUCAGAACUUCUUCCUGUCUCCAUAGGGAGGAAAAAAGGAAAAUAAGACAUUAUCUAAAAAUUUUCCUGGAGAUUCAGUAGCAUACAUUUGCUGGAAUGUAGUGGACACAUUAUUCAUAUCCACUAAAAUAUGUACCCCACUGGUAUUGGCAUUAAGAGACGUAGGAUUGGUUUUAUGGUUUCCCAAUAAGAUAUUUUGUUAGAUUAUGAAUUGUACUGGAGAAUCCUGGUAUUUAUGUAAGAUGGGAAAAAUUAGAUAUGUAAUAACAUGAUGCUUUUAGCAAUUAUUUAAUUUACAAACGCUCAAAUAACACACACGUUUUAAAAAGAUAGAUGUGAAUGUAGAUAGAUAUAGAUUUUUAGCUGAAACAGUGUUGUGCACACUUGAACAUGUGUACGCAUAUGCAGUAUGUGCAGUUCUUAUUCUACUUUUACACUGUCAUUGCAAUAAUGGUUCCUAACUUCUAUUACUUUUAUUAACUCAUACCAUACUCUGCCUCAUAACGGUUUAUCAGAGCUUAACAGAAAUACAUAUGAGACUACAAAAUGUAAAAUUUAAAUCAGAUGGAUGAGGAGGGCAAGAAAGCAAAACUAAGAAACUGUGGAGGUAAGAAAAGUGAGAAAAAGAUAAUGAGAAAAAAACUAAGAUAAAGCCACUCAAUAUUUAUGCUGUAAAAUUCCAAUGACGUCUCUCUCUCUCCACUCACCUCACAAGGCUCUGCAGGGGAGGGCCAGAUGUUUGGUUUCAGAUUUUUUAGAGACUACUGCCAAGUCACAUGAAGGUCACAUGCCUAAUCAGUGGGGUCCCUAACUGGCCAGAAGAAACUUAGUCCCCCUAGACGUCGGCCAAGUCCAGCGUAGCAUGAGCUUUGGACAUUGUUGCUCUGCCCAUGAGGAUGCCCUUGCUCUUCCAGCGGGGUUUCUACCACUCCCUUUUCCCUGGCAGGCUUGGCGCAUCAAUCCUGUACUAAAGGUAUCUUCCCUGCCCACCAUCACACCUUAAAAAGUCAUUUCGGGCAUCUACUCCAAUACACGUAUCUCCUCUUUAAGUUUAUGUCAGCCCGUGUGUCCAUCAGAGGAGAACAAGAGAAAAAUGAAUAAACAAUAGAAACAGUAUCAGCAACAACAACGAAACAAGCAUCUGGACAGUACUUUCUGUUUCUGAGCUCGCAGUCAUUAAUUUUUCUGUCACUCUUUUUAUAUGAAGCAGCUGAGGGAAUGUUAGGAUUUAGAGCGUAUUUUCCAUCUGUUAUCGUGGCUCAGCCCAUCAUGUGCAAGAGCUUAACUGGAGCUGCUCAAGAUGCCUGGGUCUCACAGUUGUCUAAGGGUGGGAGAGGAGUGGAGGGGGUUCCUAAUAAGAAUGAGGUGCCUACUCUUUUACUCUCCUCCAGUCACCCAGUACCACGACUAAGUGAAAUACUCGAUUUUACCAAUAAGGGAUAUUUCUUUCUUUCCACAUGAACAGUUUUACUCAACAACCAUCACCAAAAACAAAACAAAACAAAGAAACAAACAAACAAAAAACCCCACACCAUUUUAAUUUUAUUAACCUGGAAUUACCUGAAAUAACCAUGGUAACAAGUACUGAAAUAACAUAAAUUGCUUAUAUAACCAUAGAAACAGUACUACAAAAUGGAAAUUACCUAUAAUUUAUCUCAGUUUCUUACCCCGACAAUAAUAUAAUGUGUAUUUUUCACAAAACACGUAUUUUAGCUACAGUAGCAAUCAAGAAGUUAUUCAAAACUUAUUUAAGCCUUUCCAAAAGCUAUCAGUUGUUAUUUAGUUGCUGUGGUUAUUUCUUAUUAAUAAUUUUCUAGGUAAAUGACACAUAAAAUGAAUUAAAAUAUGACUUAAUGCAAACUACAAGCAAGAAAUUAAAAUGAGAACGAAUGUUUUGUGAAGGAAAACCAGAUACUUCUGAAAGAUACUGAUACAAAGAGUGCUCUGAUCAGCCAAAAGAUGGAACAACUGCCUAUGUCAACUCUGUUUAGUUUCAGGUUUCUUUUCCUUUGAACAACAUUUGAUAUUUCUAUUUUUCUAUAUGUAUUUAUAAAUCUACAAUGGGCCAUGUCUGUUUUAUAUAACCCACCAAGUCAAAACUGGCCCAUCAGAUCCCUACGUACAUAUACUGGCAGGGUGCAGGAGGCUGGAUCCAGGCCUCGGUUUCUUGCUACCCAGUUCCUGCCACACUCAGGCCAGGAGACCCAGGAAAGCUGCUCAAUUUCUCUAACUCCCUUGAGUCAGAGAGUCACACGUUGGGCCCGUGAAAUAACUGAAACCACCUAAUGCCUUAGGCUGAAAGGACAUACUCAGAGGGGCGGGGAUAUAAGUUCGCAGGUCACUUCACGGACUUCACCAAUAUCCUCCUAUUUAUUUUGACAAUGUAGCCUCUCUGAUGAUCUAGAAUAGAGUCCUAGCAUACAUUAAGCCCCACAACUUUUCAUUUGAUUUCAUUAAUAAUGACAUCUGUUCACCUAGUACUCACGUAUAGUAUUUUUAAAGAGUUUUAUUAAGAUAUAAUUCACAUACCAUAAAAUUAACUCAUCAAAAGUGUAGAAUUUCGUGUUUUUAGUAUACCCAGUGAGUUGUACCACUCAAGACCGCGUUUUAAUUCUACACAUUUUUACAUCCUGCUCAAAGAAACCCCUUACCCAUCAGUACUCACUUCCCAUUCUCACUAUCCCACCCACAGCUACUAAUCUACUUCCUGAAUUUAUAUGUACCCAUUCAUCCUUAUUCUACUGCUGAAGCAAAUGUGGUAAAAUAUUUGCAUUUGGGAAAUUCAAAUAAAUGACAGAUCGAAGUUCUUCAAACAAUUCUUGCAACUUUACUACAAGCUUUACAUUGUUUCUGAGAUCACAUGGACACAGGAAGGGGAA